AAGGCCAAGAGGGGGGUGUAAGCCCGCUCAGGGGUGAAGGAAUAAAUGUUUUGGGCCCUAGGCCAAAACAGCUAAGGGUUGAAGAAACCACUCAGGCGCAAGCUGAAGAAGUGAGCCUUCGUUCUCACUCGGCACAAGCUGCAACAGAAAAAACUCAUUCGAAAAAAAGCCAAAACAUGGAAGCAAAGCUCUCCGCUUCGACGUCCCUUCCUCUUCGGCGCUUGUGUCUGUGCCGUUUCAAGGAGACCGUUCGUGUCCAUGCCUGUUCAAGAAGCGAAUCAAACUCAACCAUGUAUUUGCAUUUUGGAAUUCAUAAAUUGCGUUUUGGAAGAGUUCUUCAUCGCGAUUCAGAAGAAUCAGCAUCGUGACUUCGUGUUUGUUCUUCGCUCAGGACUCACGUUCAUGGCAUCAGAUUCUGGUGUUCAUCAUCACCGUGUUUCAGAUUGCAUCACGUCUUCAGAAUCUUCGCUCGCGUUUCAAGCUUCAGCAUCAUCAUCCCAACAACGUCGCGUUCGUUUCAACAUUCUUCACAGCUUCAACAAAAUGUCCUCAAUCGAAUUCAAUCGUUGUCUUCACCAAUCCGGAGUUACAACAUCCAUAUCAAUAAUCAAAUUGCAACAUCAAAGAGAGUUCGUGGAUCGUGUUCAACCUUAUAUAUUCUCCCUCAAAUGAAUCUCCAAAAUCAACACUCGAUUUCAUCUAUCACUGCGCACGCGAAAUCAAACAGAACAAAAUCAAAAUCAAGAAAACUUAACGGAUUUGAAGCUUCAAUCCCAAACAGAUUGUUGCUAUAUGUAUGUGUUGUGUGGGUGAAUUGCUCUGGUAUGCUUCUGCUCGAUGAAGAAGAGUUGUGUAUGAGAUAAUUUAGAUAAUUUUUCCUGUGAUUGAAUGAAGAAUCGAGAGUGAAGAGUGAAAGUUGCAGAAUGAUGAUGAUGAACCAUCCCCCAAUUCUGAAGCGUGUGAGGUUGAAAAUCUAACUCGAGCCAUGAACAUGGAGCUAUGUAUAUGGGUUUCACUUGAAGAAAAUGGCCAUGGGAAAUUGUGGUUGAAAAUUGGACGGUUUCGUGGAUUUGAAUCAUAUGAAGUCUUGGUUAUGAAUUGGUAGAUUAGGAAUUGGAAUUAGGUCUUAUUGUAAGAUGUAAUGGAUGUAUUUGUUUGAAAUUGUGAUGUAUAAUUUUGUUUAAUGGUUGUAAUAUAAAUUGAAAUUGAAUGAAGGAUUAUGGUUGAAUUUGGAUCAAUGGUUGAAUGUUGCUUCGAGGAUGGAUUCAGGAUGACUGUUGGAACUGUCUUUUGACUUUGGAAUUGGAUUAAUUGGCUUAUCUAUAACAUAUUGGAAUUGGAAUGUUGAAUUUAUGGUUGAAAUUUGAAUGAAGAUGUAAAUGGUUAUGGUUUGCGUCUUGUAAUGUAAUGAAUCAAGUUUUGUGAAAAUGGACAUGGUUUAAAAUGAACCAUGGUGUGUAAUUUGAAAUGGAUAUGGUAAUGAACACGGAUUAAAGAUGAA